GCCUAGUUAAGCUUGCUUGGUAGAGCGUCUGCCUUGUAAGCGCUAGGCCGCGGGUUUGAAUCCUGCCCGGGGCG
rnacentral:tRNA from 1 species